rnacentral:rRNA from 1 species
UUGAACGCUGGCGGCAGGCCUAACACAUGCAAGUCGAGCGGAUGAAGGGAGCUUGCUCCUGGAUUCAGCGGCGGACGGGUGAGUAAUGCCUAGGAAUCUGCCUGGUAGUGGGGGAUAACGUCCGGAAACGGGCGCUAAUACCGCAUACGUCCUGAGGGAGAAAGUGGGGGAUCUUCGGACCUCACGCUAUCAGAUGAGCCUAGGUCGGAUUAGCUAGUUGGUGGGGUAAAGGCCUACCAAGGCGACGAUCCGUAACUGGUCUGAGAGGAUGAUCAGUCACACUGGAACUGAGACACGGUCCAGACUCCUACGGGAGGCAGCAGUGGGGAAUAUUGGACAAUGGGCGAAAGCCUGAUCCAGCCAUGCCGCGUGUGUGAAGAAGGUCUUCGGACUGUAAAGCACUUUAAGUUGGGAGGAAGGGCAGUAAGUUAAUACCUUGCUGUUUUGACGUUACCAACAGAAUAAGCACCGGCUAACUUCGUG